CACAUAACAGAAUUUGUGGGAAGAAAGGACCCUAAUUAUCAUCCUUCCUAUCACUACUACCUUUUUCUUGCUCAGAAAAGAGGAUCUCUCAUUUAUUUAAGGCUUCAAUGUUUAAAAAGAAGAAGCUUGAAGUUCAAGAGAUAUACCAUGUCACUUUACAAUAAUGAAGAGAGGACACUUCCCAUGGAGCAUGUGUGGAGCUGAUUUUACCUGAGGUUCCAGGAUGGCAAGGGAGACUUGAAGACACAUUAUCUGAGCAUUGGAAUGGUACCUGACAAGGCUAUGUAGAGGUUGAACAUUUGACCUAUGUUCUGGAUGCACCUAUAGAGGAAUCUUCACUGAAGGCUCUUUGGAUUCUCACCUUCCCAUGGAGGAC